rnacentral:rRNA from 1 species
GACGAACGCUGGCGGCGUGCCUAAUACAUGCAAGUCGAACGAACCGCGACUAGGUGCUUGCACUUGGUCAAGGUGAGUGGCGAACGGGUGAGUAACACGUGGGUAACCUACCUCAUAGUGGGGGAUAACAGUCGGAAACGACUGCUAAUACCGCAUAGGACAUAGGAUCACAUGAUUCUGUGAGGAAAGGUGGCGCAAGCUAUCGCUAAGAGAUGGACCCGCGGUGCAUUAGCUAGUUGGUAGGGUAAAGGCCUACCAAGGCGAUGAUGCAUAGCCGACCUGAGAGGGUGAUCGGCCACAUUGGGACUGAGACACGGCCCAAACUCCUACGGGAGGCAGCAGUAGGGAAUCUUCCGCAAUGGACGCAAGUCUGACGGAGCAACGCCGCGUGAGUGAAGAAGGUCUUCGGAUCGUAAAGCUCUGUUGUUAGAGAAGAACAGCGCAUAGGGUAACUGUUAUGCGUGUGACGGUAUCUAACCAGAAAGCCACGGCUAACUACGUG